UGGGGAAUAUUGCACAAUGGGGGAAACCCUGAUGCAGCGACGCCGCGUGAGCGAAGAAGGUUUUCGAAUCGUAAAGCUCUGUCCUAUGAGAAGAUAAUGACGGUAUCAUAGGAGGACGCCCCGGCUAAAUACGUGCCAGCAGCCGCGGUAAUACGUAUGGGGCGAGCGUUGACCGGAAUUAUUGGGCGUAAAGGGUACGUAGGCGGUCUAUUAAGUCAGGUGUGAAAGCGUGAGGCUUAACCUCAUUAAGCACUUGAAACUGAUAGACUUGAGUGAAGGAGAGGAAAGUGGAAUUCCUAGUGUAGCGGUGAAGUGCGUAGAUAUUAGGAGGAAUACCAGUAGCGAAGGCGACUUUCUGGACUUUUACUGACGCUCAGGUACGAAAGCGUGGGGAGCAAACAGG
rnacentral:rRNA from 1 species